AGUGAACGCUGGCGGUAGGCCUAACACAUGCAAGUCGAACGGCAGCACAGUAAGAGCUUGCUCUUACGGGUGGCGAGUGGCGGACGGGUGAGGAAUACAUCGGAAUCUACUUUUUCGUGGGGGCUAACGUAGGGAAACUUACGCUAAUACCGCAUACGACCUACGGGUGAAAGCAGGGGAUCUUCGGACCUUGCGCGAUUGAAUGAGCCGAUGUCGGAUUAGCUAGUUGGCGGGGUAAAGGCCCACCAAGGCGACGAUCCGUAGCUGGUCUGAGAGGAUGAUCAGCCACACUGGAACUGAGACACGGUCCAGACUCCGACGGGAGGCAGCAGUGGGGAAUAUUGGACAAUGGGCGCAAGCCUGAUCCAGCCAUACCGCGUGGGUGAAGAAGGCCUUCGGGUUGUAAAGCCCUUUUGUUGGGAAAGAAAAGCAGCAGGUUAAUACCCCGCUGUUCUGACGGUACCCAAAGAAUAAGCACCGGCUAACUUCGU
rnacentral:rRNA from 1 species